ensembl:lncRNA
GUGCGUAGAUUUGAAAAAAAAAGUUGCCUUUCCAAUUUGGUAGAAUUUAUUUUCACUGGUUUUUUUUUUGGACGCUGUUUUGAAAUCGACCGUUUCUCCUCCUUCAGAAAGCUGCUGAAGACAAACCAGCGCAAGACGAACCUGUAUUGAAUUAGACAAUGUUGCAAGAUCAGUUAAUGAAAUAUUGAUAAGAACAUUCCUUCAACACAUGCUGCAGCAGCUGUUCUGGUGAGCUGAAUGAGGAAACUGCCAUACGAGGAUGUGAAAUACAGACCCAGCAGGUCAUCUGUCCCAAGCCCGUCUUUCUGGAAUUCGAUUUUCACUCCUACUAACAUAAAGAUAAGGGCUUGGUAUGGAUCAAGGCUAUGGCUAUGGCUUUCCUGUAGAUGGUCAUAAAUUAAGGUGCAGCAAUCCUCUUGAAGUAUACUACAAGAAACAACAACAGCUAAAGGCCUUAAAGAACAGUAAAUAAUUGAAUGCUUGUACUGC